CAAGUCGAGGGGCAGCAUGGGGUUGCUUGCAAUCCCUGAUGGCGACCGGCGCACGGGUGAGUAACACGUAUCCAACCUGCCGAUAACUCGGGGAUAGCCUUUCGAAAGAAAGAUUAAUACCCGAUAGCAUAGUUUUUCCGCAUGGUUUCACUAUUAAAGAAUUUCGGUCAUCGAUGGGGAUGCGUUCCAUUAGGUUGUUGGCGGGGUAACGGCCCACCAAGCCUUCGAUGGAUAGGGGUUCUGAGAGGAAGGUCCCCACAUUGGAACUGAGACACGGUCCAAACUCC
rnacentral:rRNA from 1 species